rnacentral:rRNA from 1 species
GCAGUCGAACGGUGACGACGGGAGCUUGCUUCUGUUUGAUCAGUGGCGAACGGGUGAGUAACACGUGAGCAACCUGCCCCAGACUCUGGGAUAACCCCGGGAAACCGGAGCUAAUACCGGAUAUGACACUCGCACGCAUGUGCAGGGUGUGGAAAGUUUUUCGGUCUGGGAUGGGCUCGCGGCCUAUCAGCUUGUUGGUGAGGUAGUGGCUCACCAAGGCGACGACGGGUAGCCGGCCUGAGAGGGCGACCGGCCACACUGGGACUGAGACACGGCCCAGACUCCUACGGGAGGCAGCAGUGGGGAAUAUUGCACAAUGGGCGGAAGCCUGAUGCAGCGACGCCGCGUGAGGGAUGACGGCCUUCGGGUUGUAAACCUCUUUCAGCAGGGAAGAAGCGCAAGUGACGGUACCUGCAGAAGAAGCACCGGCUAACUACGUGCCAGCAGCCGCGGUAAUACGUAGGGUGCGAGCGUUGUCCGGAAUUAUUGGGCGUAAAGAGCUUGUAGGCGGUUUGUCGCGUCUGCUGUGAAAAUCCGGGGCUCAACCCCGGACUUGCAGUGGGUACGGGCAGGCUAGAGUGUGGUAGGGGAGACUGGAAUUCCUGGUGUAGCGGUGGAAUGCGCAGAUAUCAGGAGGAACACCGAUGGCGAAGGCAGGUCUCUGGGCCAUUACUGACGCUGAGAAGCGAAAGCAUGGGGAGCGAACAGGAUUAGAUACCCUGGUAGUCCAUGCCGUAAACGUUGGGCGCUAGGUGUGGGACCCAUUCCACGGGUUCCGUGCCGCAGCUAACGCAUUAAGCGCCCCGCCGGGGGAGUACGGCCGCAAGGCUAAAACUCAAAGGAAUUGACGGGGGCCCGCACAAGCGGCGGAACAGGCGGAUUAAUUCGAUGCAACGCGAAGAACCUUACCAAGGCUUGACAUACACCGGAAUCACUCAAAGAUGGGUGCGUCUUCCGACUGGUGUACAGGUGGUGCAGGGUUGUCGUC